rnacentral:rRNA from 1 species
UACGUAGGGUGCAAGCGUUGUCCGGAAUCAUUGGGCGUAAAGCGCGCGUAGGUGGCUUCGUAAGUCCGUUGUGAAAGUCAAAGGCUCAACCUUUGAAUGCCGAUGGAUACUGCGAAGCUAGAGUACGGAAGAGGCGAGUGGAAUUCCUGGUGUAGCGGUGGAAUGCGCAGAUAUCAGGAGGAACACCAAUAGCGAAGGCAGCUCGCUGGGACGUGACUGACGCUGAGACGCGAAAGCGUGGGGAGCAAACAGG